GACGAACGCUGGCGGCGUGCUUAACACAUGCAAGUCGAACGGUGAAGCGCCUUCCUUUUUGGUGGGUGUGGAUGAGUGGCGAACGGGUGAGUAACACGUGAGUAACCUGCCCCCUUCUUCUGGAUAACCGCAUGAAAGUGUGGCUAAUACGGGAUAUUCUGGGUCUGUCGCAUGAUGGGUCUGGGAAAGAUAUUGUUUCGGUGGGGGAUGGGCUCGCGGCCUAUCAGCUUGUUGGUGGGGUGAUGGCCUACCAAGGCGGUGACGGGUAGCCGGCCUGAGAGGGUGGACGGUCACACAGGGACGGAGACACGGCCAAGACUCCGACGGGAGGCAGCAGUGAGGAAUAUUGAACAAUGGGCGCAAGCCUGAUGCAGCGACGCCGCGUGAGAGAUGGAGGCCUUCGGGUUGUGAACCUCUUUCGCCAGUGAAGCAGGCCUGCCUCGUUUGUGGGUGGGUUGACGGUAGCUGGAUAAGAAGCGCCGGCUAACUACGUG
rnacentral:rRNA from 1 species